rnacentral:lncRNA from 1 species
CAGGACAAAAGGAGAACAGGUUACCUAUUUGGGGGUCUGUUAUUUUUCAUCGGCUCGGUUUCCUUGUCUUAUGACACCUGGGGAGAGACCUUCAGGUGAGAGGGUCUCGAUGGCAGGAGUUUGUAAGAUAUGCGAGUGCGUAUUAUGCAUGAGGUCUCCAUUUGGAAAACUGCAGUCUCAGGCACUAACCAAGAUGAAUGACAGUGAUGCAUUCUUCAUACUUAAAGGCAGAAGAUACCUCCUAGGUAGGCACUUUUUCUAUUUAUGAAAAUUUCCAUCACAGAUUCUAAGAAUUUUUCUUUUUCUUUUUUUUUUUUGAGAACAAAGUAUGAAAUCAAAAGUAUACUGAUACUUGAUGUAUCUGAAAAAUUGUGAUAUCUCACAAAUUAAUUUUGCUUUUUUUUUUUUUUCAAACCCAAGGCCUCAGGCGUGCUGGGUAAGUGCUGUGCUACAGAGUGAUAUUCCCCAGCCCUAACUUUCCUUCUUAAAAUCCCAAACUUAGAAAAAAAAAAGCAGACUCCUUGGGAUGACAACCUUUCUAAAAUGAACUAUAUGUGUGACUGAUUUAUCAAGGAAUUUAUGAAGGUAUUAUUCUUCCCUUAACCCUGGCUUUCAGUGGUACAAUCCCAAAUAAGACUUUUUCACUCUACUAAUGACAUCUCAGUCAGAAUCCAUAAUUCCUGGUUAUUUUCAGCUACUGAAAGAUAAUCUGCUAAAUUCAUAGGUCCUUCAAUUCUUGAUACAGGCAAGGUUCAGGGACCAAGAGCUUGGGGUAUAGUAUGGAGUCAGGUUUGUCCUUUCAUUCUUCUUCUCACCCCAGUAAGUUACAUCUGGUUAGCAGGCAGAAGGGAUCCUGCCCUACUCCAGGGUCCAGCAGCUCUACAGGGAAGAGGUGGAAAAAGGAUGGGGAAGUACCACAGCCACAGCAGCAUGCCCAUGGCACAUGGAGAUAGCAGUGGGUAUGGUAAUAGGUGGUGUGCAAUAACACUGUUGCUAUGGUUUGGAUGUGGCUUAUCCCCCCAAGGGUCCAUGUUGUUCAGCAUAGUGAUGUUAAGAGAUGGUGAGACCUUUCAGAAAUGGGGCCAAGUCAUGGAGAUUUAGGUCGUUAGGUCAUUAAGAGCACCACCUUUGGAAGAAAUUAAGAUAGUUCUCAUGGGAUCCUAAAUAGUUCCCUUGAGAGGGUUGUUACAGAAAAGCAAGACUGGCCCCCUCUUCACUCUCUGGCUUUCUGUCUCACUACUAUAAUCUCUCCUCCUACAUGCUCCCUCCAAGCUGCCAUCUGCCAUGAUGUGACAGCCAGGAAGCCCUCACCAGAGCCAGUACCAUACUACUUGGAUUUUCAACUUUUAGCUCCACGAGUUGAAUAAAUCUCUUUUCUCUCUAAGGUAUCCAACCUCUGUAUUUUGUUACAGCUAUGGAAAAUGAACUAAUACAACGACAGAUAGCUGGAUAUUCAUCCAAGUACAAGUGAACGGAUGAACUUCACAUGUUGUUUUAUAGAAUACAGAAUGAUAGCUCUCUGGCCUGCCUUUUAUUUCCUCAAUUUUGGUGAUCUAAUCUAAUGUAUAGAGAGUUCAUCCUCUUUCCUCAGAUGGUGUUUUUAGUUUCAUCUCAGUCUCCUCCAUCACUAAAGACCUCAGAGACCAGCAGUCUGAUCUCCCUUUAACCUCACCAGCAGCCCACACUGCCAACACAAUGGCACACUCUAUUGUUUGUUUUGCUGGCUUUUGAGACACUCUUCAGCUCUCACCUUUCUCUAAGUCCCGUCCUUUUUCAUGUGGAACCAUGGGAAUGACUAGGAUAUUUUCCCAUUCUUUCCAAGGAACAGAGAGAAGUUGGUUGGGGCAGAGCUGUACUGCACUCUUCCAGGGUACUACCAUGGUCUAAGACUUGCUGAUGCAGAGGACUCCACCAGACCUUCCUCCCUCAGAACACUCUGGACCAAAAAGCGGCAAUAGUCCCUGUGCACUUGUGUGCCCCAGCUCAGAGAAUUCAUGUCAUGUCACUUCUGAUAAAGAAUUCUCUCCUUUAGUUUGGCUCAUUAAGUCUUCAUGCAGGGGAUCAGAAACAAGCCUCCAAUUUCCAUAUGUGAUUGUUCGAAGAAAAGGAGAGGAUGCAGUUCAACUUGAGAUAAGAAAAGCAGGGUUUGCUUACGCUGGGUAAGAUUGCAUAUCUUACCCAAUCAGGAAAUGGAAGCAAAUAAAAAUCUUCAAUUCAUGAAACAGAGGAUUGCUUCACUGCUCAAAGAUGUUUUUGUGCCUCAACAUUCUUAGAAUAUUGACUUAAACUAGGAUUAGAUUCUAAUUUCCUCAUAGUGGAGCUCUCAGAAAGCUUAGUUCCUAAAAAGUUUACAUAAAGAAGAAAAAGAAACCCCCAUACGCACAACCUUCCAGAUUCCCACUGUUCACCGUUACACGAGUACAGUGACUUUUCUGUAUUGCUGUCCAGGAAUCACCCUACCUCUCGGCCUUACAAGAGGAAGCUCCUUAAGCAUCAUGUCUUACCACACGGGAAGAUAUCACCUCCUGGACCAAAGAGAACCUUUAGCUGUCUUGACUUGUCAGGCAUUGAUUGAUGUGUAGGAUUCAUGUAGCAUUCCUCAGGAGAAGUUAAUGAAUAUACAUGAAUAAAGCAUUUCAUUGGUGGCUGGGGGGAGGGGGAGGUGCAUGAAAUUAUUUUUAACUUAUUUAAUUUGGCCCAUGAUACAGUCUUGUUAGAAAACUAAAUAACAGAACUUCCCCCUUGAAGAAAUGGCCUAACAAAUUACAGUCAAUAGAGGCAUAAUAUAUUUUGUAUCAACUAGCAAAUAUAAACAUACCAACUAUAAACGCCUGACUGUGCACAGUGCAUCACUCCAUAAAUGUGGCUAACUAAUUAUUAAUUCAUAUUGAUGCUCUCUUACAGAUAAGGACUUCUUGUUUUUCAAUAUAAUAAGUGCUGAAGAAAUUGAAGGAUGAAAGUGUUAACUGAUCUAUUGAUUUUUAGAAAGUAUUUAGAUGCUGGUUACUACAUUUUUUUUUUUUUGGUUGAUUGGAAAUUUUAUUAUCUUCAGAUAUCCCAUCUGAAUGUUCAAUGUUUUUUGUUAAUACUUAAUGUGACACAUCUGUAAAAGAUAGAUAGAUAUUCAGGUAUGACCACAUCUUUCGGGAAGCCAUCCGUGAAAUACAUGAGGAUCUUCUCCAGGCAUGGGAGUCAGGGGAGUUAGGCCUGGCCUUGGGAACUUCCCAUGGCUGACCCAUGGCAAUAGAUUGCCCAAUGCCCGUGACCUUUCCCUCCACUCUGCUAGGAAAGUGCCUCAUAGUAGCUCCGGAGAUGGGCCUAACCCAUUAGGAGCUGAACAGCCCAGCUUUAACCUUUUUUGGAGAAAAACAUUCUAUAGAAUCUCUUUGAUGUUUCCUGAUAUAAAUAAAAGUGGCGCAGGCUCCAUCUUGGUCCAGAAGUUUGAUUGGUCUGAUUAGCUUGCCUGACCUGCUUUUGAAACUUCUUUCUGUAAUUUUUUUUAUUUGCUCAUUUGUUGGAGAUAAAACCCAGGGCCUCACACAUGCCAUGCAAGUACUCUACCACUAAGCUACAUCCCCAGCCCUGGUUUUAUUCUUUAUCAGAACAGAAUAAAGCAGAAUACUAGAGUUCUGCUAAAGCCAAGUUGAACUUUAGCUGCAAAAAGUUCUAACCAUCUAAUCAACAGAAAAAAAAAUUGCACACUUUCACUCAGAUACAAACUUG